CUCAGGUUAAAGCACGGUAAAGGCUGGGUAUACUGCGCAGAUUCACUAGCCUCUGCCCAGCAACUCCUAUCCCUACUUCCUCGUGGUACCGGCCGGAAACUAUGAGCAACCUAAGGGAAGAUCGGGUAACCAACUCCGGUGGGAACUUUGGUCGUAGGCAAACCUGAGCGUC
rnacentral:ribozyme from 1 species